UGCCGGGUAGCCAAAUUGGUAAGGCAUCAGUCUCUGAAUCUGAAGAUUGUUGGUUCGAGCCCAGCCCCGGCAGCCA
rnacentral:tRNA from 1 species